GUGAAUCAUCAAAUCUUUGAACGCAAAUUGCGCUUUUUUCGGAAGGCAUGCGUGUUUGAGGGCACCAUUUAACAAAUAAUGUGCAUUUCGUGUGCACACGUUGAUGAGCUUUCCAAAAUUAUGUAUUAUUAUUUUUGGUGGCGCAUAAUAAACAGAGCGAUGAUUUUUUUUAGAUCGAGUGUAGUAAAAUUUUUUCUUGCUUGGGUUGUGAAAAGAGUGACAGCGAAAAUGGGUGUUGCGAGUCUAU
rnacentral:misc_RNA from 1 species